AUUGAACGCUGGCGGCAUGCUUUACACAUGCAAGUCGAACGGUAACAGGCCUUCGGGUGCUGACGAGUGGCGAACGGGUGAGUAAUGCAUCGGAACGUGCCCAAUCGUGGGGGAUAACGUAGCGAAAGUUACGCUAAUACCGCAUAAGCCCUGAGGGGGAAAGCAGGGGAUCGCAAGACCUUGCGCGAAUGGAGCGGCCGAUAUCAGAUUAGGUUGUUGGUGAGGUAAAGGCUCACCAAGCCGACGAUCUGUAGCUGGUCUGAGAGGACGACCAGCCACACUGGGACUGAGACACGGCCCAGACUCCUACGGGAGGCAGCAGUGGGGAAUUUUGGACAAUGGACGCAAGUCUGAUCCAGCAAUGCCGCGUGCAGGACGAAGGCCCUGGUUGUAACUAGCUUUGUACGGAACGAAAGACCUUCUUCUAAUACAGGAGGUACGAUGACGGUACCGUAAGAAUAAGACACCGGCGUAACUA
rnacentral:rRNA from 1 species